GAAACCGGGGCUAAUACCGGAUACGAACCUCGACGACAUCGUCGAGGUUGGAAAGUUUUUCGGUCAGGGAUGGGCCCGCGGCCUAUCAGCUAGUUGGUGGGGUAAUGGCCCACCAAGGCGACGACGGGUAGCCGGCCUGAGAGGGCGACCGGCCACACUGGGACUGAGACACGGCCCAGACUCCUACGGGAGGCAGCAGUGGGGAAUAUUGCGCAAUGGGCGAAAGCCUGACGCAGCGACGCCGCGUGAGGGACGACGGCCUUCGGGUUGUAAACCUCUUUCAGCAGGGACAAAGCGAAAGUGACGGUACCUGCAGAAGAAGCACCGGCCAACUACGUGCCAGCAGCCGCGGUAAUACGUAGGGUGCAAGCGUUGUCCGGAAUUAUUGGGCGUAAAGAGCUCGUAGGCGGUUUGUCACGUCGGAUGUGAAAACUCGGGGCUCAACUCCGAGCCUGCAUUCGAUACGGGCAGACUUGAGUUCGGCAGGGGA
rnacentral:rRNA from 1 species